GAACUGUUGGAAAUAUUUGACAUUUUCACUUUAAACAUAAAUCAGAGAGUUACUUAGUUGUGAUUUCUUUCCAUUGCAAUUGCAUUUUUACACACAAGAAAGCAAAGUUUUAAUUUUUGCUAAAUAUUUCAAAAUAUUAAUUUUGGUGCGAACCAGUUAGAAAUAUUUGGCAUUUUGGUACAAAUACAAAUCAGAGAAUUUGUGUGAUACAAUUUGAUCGCAUUGCAGUGUACGUCUUUAUACAAAAGACGUUUUUACUGAAUAUAUUAAAACGCGUGUGGGUGACGAUAUCAGUUAAUAAUGGUUAACAUGCCUAUACAUUAUAUUAAUGAUGAAAAAGAAGAAGAUGAACUCUUAGAUGCUAUAAGGGAACAUCAAAAUUACUGUCCCUAUUGCAUGUUUAGACGAUAUUU